CCUCCCCUUUCUGCUUUGUAGUCAAGAUGACGCCCGUUUAGUGCGAGUAGGAUCCAUCGUUCCACACUGAACUUUUUGACCAUUUUUAGGGGGUCAUCCGGGGACUUUCAGUGCGUUAUCUACACGAUAUACUUCAAACUAAAGAGAUGUUCAGUCAU